rnacentral:lncRNA from 1 species
GUUUAUCGUAGACUCGAAAAAGAUUCGCGAAGACCUGCGACAAGAUUCGAGCUCAAACAGCAUUUUUUUCAGAUAUCAUUCAGUGGGGGGAUCUGAAGAAUAUCUCUGCGGAAAGCAAGCCAUGUAAACACGGAACAACAACACGAACGAUACGACGCAGCAGUACGUUCGAGAUGAUAACAGCUCGGACAUCCUGGACACAUUUGGGGGCUUAGAAACACACGCGUGAUUCGAAGCGCGGAUGACUCGGAAACUGCACCCUUCGUGACGUAUCCGCGAGCCGAAGGAACCCGAGAUGCGUAAGCUUUUUUCUGUGUAAACAUAUCCCGCAUUCUCUUGCCCACACGUGCAACAAGCGAAAUGACGAUGUUCAAUUAUCCCAGCGAUCGACGAUGACGACUCCGAUGACGCGACGCCGUGCCGCUCGAAAUCGCGUUCGCGAUCAAUGAGAACGUUGACGGCGGCCGCUCCGGCAAGUUCUCACUAACAAAGCCGCCGGCCAGCUCCAAUUGCAAAUCCAGUUGUUAGUCGGCGAGUCGUAGAAACGACACGAUACAACGCGAUGUCCAAGAGGCGGUGCACGUGAUCGUACAGAGGCAUCGGCAACCCGAGUUCGCUCGGCGCGCGCGUUAGGGUGGCUACACACCGAGCGGACGGAUGACGAUUAGGGUUGCCAACUGUCCGGUUUUGACCCGGACCGUCAGAUUUUCAGAAGUCUUGUCCAGUGUCCGGUUAAUAAGUCAAACCGGACGUCAUAUGUCCGGUUUUCAAGUUAUAUCCAAUCAAUGGAAUGAGAGUUCAGAUUUUAGCAACGUUUCUCCGUUUCAAGCGCCUGCAAACGAUCGAGCGCCACGAAAAGCCAUCCAGUAGAUGAUCU